rnacentral:lncRNA from 1 species
CGUGUGUCUCGCUGCCUGUUCUUAGGCGUACGUCUCAUCCCAUUAACAGCAAAAAGUAUAACAAACACUUCUUUGUUCAUCUUGUUGCAGCCAAAUGGUGAAAGGUGUGACGAAGACAGAUUGAACUGUUGUAUGCAGCAUGCGGUUGCAGUGUAAUCCAGAAGUUGCUGUGCUGUUGUAGCUGAGCUGUUCCAUCUGGGUUCCUGACUUCAAAAUUUUUGUGUUGUCGUUUUCAUCCAUGCCAUGAAAUUGCUCUGUGUUAACUGUGUGCUGACUUAUAAGUUUGAUCUGUUGUCUUUCGAGU